ensembl:lncRNA
GUGCAGAACGGAUCCAAGAAACGGCCAAAACGAAAAUCUAACGGCGCGAAGUGGCGAAAGACAGUAAGAGGAGAGUAUCACAUGGAUGAAGCCAAGCGACCCCAGCGGUGCUGAAAAGAGGAGGAAGAAGGAAGAAAAACAAACAUUUACGUCAAAGUUGCAGAAAGUGACAAGUUUCUUCACUGCUCCUGCGGCAGCGGCCAGCAGCAGCAACCCACCACCUGCUCAACCGACGUGGACACCUGAGGAGGCUCCGUCCUGUGCAAAUGAACAAAAUGAGACAGGGAUGUGCUGUGAGAGCUCUCCAGCAUCAUCCACUGUACUUGCAGAACAUGAUCCAGCACUCUGGCCAAAACAGCUGUCGGAUAGUGCACGAUGCUCAAUAGUGGAGAGAGGAGCACUUCAGGGAGCAAUUAGGGGUCUUGCUCAGGGACACUUCGACAUGGAACAUGGGGCAGCCUGGACGCGAACCACCAACCUUGUGCUUCCCAGCACACCGUCUCUAACCCCUGCGCCACGACGACCCCAGGAUCUUAUGAAUGAAGACGGCCACAGAAUUACCAGCAGCAACUACAUGCAGAUGAAAAAUGGAGAACGGCUGUGCAGAUCAUGGCUUGUCUACAGUGAAAAGAGGGCCCCAUGCCUGCCUUUGCCUUGGGCCCCAAAUUUCUUAAAUCUGCCACUGCACAUGGUUGAGAAGCAUUGAGGUGAAAAGUUGGGAAGACAUCGUUAACGCUGCAGACUUCCGAGGCCAUUUGUUCUACGGCCAAUUCAUGUUUAUCUUCAUUAUGGGUUAGGGUUCUUGAAAAUGUUGUGGGUUGAAUAAAGUAAUUUAUAAAGGCAUUCUUUAAAAACUGUAUUCAAAGAAGUUUGUUUCAUAUCCCAAAAAACGUGAC